GCGAAUAAUUGCAGCGUUAAAACUCUCAAAUCAAAAAACUAUGCGGAAAGCUCGAAGAAAUCAGGCGAAGCCUUCUGUCGGUGUCGACCUACUCACGCUUUGGAACAAGCAGCUAUUGUGCUUGUCUCAUUUUUCGCAAAUUUUAAGUCAAGGGAGCAACUUGGAAAUUACGUUCCUUAUGGGAAAAAAAUUUCAAUUUUUCAUAGCUUGUCAAUGAUGCGGCUCUAGCUAAACAUUCUAACAAGCGAUUUAC